rnacentral:rRNA from 1 species
UACGAAGGGAGCUAGCGUUGUUCGGAAUCACUGGGCGUAAAGCGCACGUAGGCGGAUUUGCCAGUCAGGGGUGAAAUCCCGGGGCUCAACCUCGGAACUGCCCUUGAUACAGCAAGUCUUGAGUUCGAGAGAGGUGGGUGGAAUUCCUAGUGUAGAGGUGAAAUUCGUAGAUAUUAGGAAGAACACCGGUGGCGAAGGCGGCCCACUGGCUCGACACUGACGCUGAGGUGCGAAAGCGUGGGGAGCAAACAGG